rnacentral:rRNA from 1 species
UACGGAGGAUCCGAGCGUUAUCCGGAUUUAUUGGGUUUAAAGGGAGCGUAGAUGGGUUGUUAAGUCAGUUGUGAAAGUUUGCGGCUCAACCGUAAAAUUGCAGUUGAUACUGGAUAUCUUGAGUGCAGUUGAGGCAGGCGGAAUUCGUGGUGUAGCGGUGAAAUGCUUAGAUAUCACGAAGAACUCCGAUUGCGAAGGCAGCCUACUAAACUGCCACUGACACUGAGGCACGAAAGCGUGGGUAUCAAACAGG